CCGUAGCCCAAGAGAUCGGGAUAACACCUGGAAACAGAUGCUAAUACCGGAUAAUAACAGAUGAUGCCUAUCAACUGUUUAAAAGAUGGUUCUGCUAUCACUCUUGGAUGGACCUGCGGUGCAUUAGCUAGUUGGUAGGGUAACGGCCUACCAAGGCGAUGAUGCAUAGCCGAGUUGAGAGACUGAUCGGCCACAUUGGGACUGAGACACGGCCCAAACUCCUACGGGAGGCAGCAGC
rnacentral:rRNA from 1 species